UACGUAGGGUGCAAGCGUUGCCCGGAUUUAUUGGGCGUAAAGGGCGCGUAGGCGGCUCUGCACGUUCGUUGUGAAAUCGCCCGGCUCAACUGGGCGGGGUCAGCGGAUACGGCAGAGCUUGAGCAAGCUAGGGGGCAAUGGAAUUCCCGGUGUAGUGGUGGAAUGCGUAGAUAUCUGGAGGAACACCGGUGGCGAAGGCGGCAUCCUGGACCAAUACUGACGCUGAUGAGCGAAAGCCAGGGGAGCAAACGGG
rnacentral:rRNA from 1 species